rnacentral:snRNA from 1 species
GUGCUCACUUUGGCAGCACAUACGCUAAAAUUGGAACGAUGCAGAGAAGAUUAGCAUGGCCUCUGCUCAAGGAUGACAUGCAAAUUUGUGAAGCGUUCCAUAUAUUU